rnacentral:rRNA from 1 species
GGGUUGUGAGGUUAAGCGACUAAGCGUACACGGUGGAUGCCCUGGCAGUCAGAGGCGAUGAAGGGCGUGCUAAUCUGCGAUAAGCGCCGGUAAGGUGAUAUGAACCGUUAUAACCGGCGAUACCCGAAUGGGGAAACCCAGUGUGAUUCGUCACACUAUCAUUACGUGAAUACAUAGCGUAAUGAAGCGAACCGGGGGAACUGAAACAUCUAAGUACCCCGAGGAAA